rnacentral:rRNA from 1 species
GACGAACGCUGGCGGCGUGCUUAACACAUGCAAGUCGAACGGAAAGGCCCUGCUUUUGUGGGGUUCUCGAGUGGCGAACGGGUGUGUAACACGUGAGUAACCUGCCCUUGUCUUUGGGAUAACUUCAGGAAACUGGGGCUAAUACCGGAUAGGAGCUCCUGCUGCAUGGGGGGGGUUGGAAAGUUUCGGCGGUUGGGGAUGGACUCGCGGCUUAUCAGCUUGUUGGUGGGGUAGUGGCUUACCAAGGCUUUGACGGGUAGCCGGCCUGAGAGGGUGACCGGCCACAUUGGGACUGAGAUACGGCCCAGACUGCUACGGGAGGCAGCAGUGGGGAAUAUUGCACAAUGGGCGGAAGCCUGAUGCAGCAACGCCGCGUGCGGGAUGACGGCCUUCGGGUUGUAAACCGCUUUCGCCUGUGACGAAGCGUGAGUGACGGUAAUGGGUAAAGAAGCACCGGCUAACUACGUG